GGAGAGAUGCCGGAGUGGUCGAACGGACCGCACUCGAAAUGCGGCAUACGGGUAACUGUAUCUAGGGUUCGAAUCCCUAUCUCUCCG
rnacentral:tRNA from 1 species